GACGAACCGUGCGAACGUUAUUCGGAAUCACUGGGCUUAAAGCGCGUGUAGGCGGGUCGGUGCGUCGGCCGCUGAAAUCCCCCGGCUCAACCGGGGAAGGGGCGCCGAUACGACCGGCCUGGAGCGACGUAGGGGGAACUGGAACUUCCGGUGGAGCGGUGAAAUGCGUUGAGAUCGGAAGGAACGCCCGUGGCGAAAGCGAGUUCCUGGACGUCGGCUGACGCUGAGACGCGAAAGCCAGGGGAGCGAACGGGAUUAGAUACCCCGGUAGUCCUGGCCGUAAACGAUGGGCACUGGGUAGGGGGCUCGCCGAUGGGCUCCCUGCCGUAGGGAAACCGUGAAGUGCCCCGCCUGGGGAGUAUGGUCGCAAGGCUGAA
rnacentral:rRNA from 1 species